rnacentral:rRNA from 1 species
UGGGGAAUCUUGCGCAAUGGGCGAAAGCCUGACGCAGCCAUGCCGCGUGAAUGAUGAAGGUCUUAGGAUUGUAAAAUUCUUUCACCGGGGACGAUAAUGACGGUACCCGGAGAAGAAGCCCCGGCUAACUUCGUGCCAGCAGCCGCGGUAAUACGAAGGGGGCUAGCGUUGCUCGGAAUUACUGGGCGUAAAGGGCGCGUAGGCGGACAUUUAAGUCAGGGGUGAAAUCCCAGAGCUCAACUCUGGAACUGCCUUUGAUACUGGGUGUCUUGAGUGUGAGAGAGGUAUGUGGAACUCCGAGUGUAGAGGUGAAAUUCGUAGAUAUUCGGAAGAACACCAGUGGCGAAGGCGACAUACUGGCUCAUUACUGACGCUGAGGCGCGAAAGCGUGGGGAGCAAACAGGAUUAGAUACCCACGUAGUCCCUGAGCGGGCUGGCAAGGCGCAU